UUCCAUAGUAUGGAACUAACAGAGGGCUGAGAAAUCUGCACGCCGUUAGAUAAAUUAUCACACCUUGGAAUGUUCGAUCCAGUUCCUCGCUCUGUG
rnacentral:sRNA from 17 species